rnacentral:lncRNA from 10 species
AACAGGGUCUCACUCUGUCACCCAGGCUGGAGUUCAGUUGUGCAAUCAUGGCUCACUGCAUCAUCAAUCUCCUGGGUCUAAGUGAUCCUCCUCACUUCAGCCUCCGGAGUACCUGGGACCAUAGUGUCAGCUUAAUUUUGUGUAAAUAGUCUGGAAACAUGAUUUUCAUCACAGCAAGCAAAACUUGUAUAGACAUGUUUGUAAGAGGAUAUUUAUACACCACCCCAGGAUGCUCUUUCUCAACUGACAUCACCUGCAUUUAGUCCAUUUCAGUUCUUCCAUGGCUUUAUGUUUUCAAAUCAACCUGCCUGGACUCAAAAGCAGACAAAACCCAGAAGUAAACAGCAGAUAGAGAUGGAAAAAGCUCCAGAAGAAUUUCUCUCCUACAGAUUUAAGAGGAGAAAAUGAGACUCCUAAGUGUCAUAAAGAAUGUGUGUAGGUGGGAUAUCCUCUUUUUUUCUUCUGUUCUUUCCCAUCCAGCCCCAAGACAAUAAUAUGAUGGCAUGGUAGAGGUGAAGAUAAUGGGAGCAGUGGCUCUAGGGACCCCUCUAUGUGAAGAGAAUAUAUUCUGGCCAGGGGAGCUGUACUCACAAAAGUGACUUUAUUAUUAAAGUGCUGAAAAAAAG